UUACAAUAAGAACUCUAGACACACAAACAAACAAGAACUUCCCUUUUAUUCAGUAUGGAAAAGAACCAAUUGAUUGUGCUUUAUCUGAUCACCUUAUUUAUCUUUUCAAGUGAUAUGGUGACAGGACGAUCGAAGUGUCAGACUACCGAGGAUUGUGAUCCUAAUGAGUGUCAGUGGGGGAUUGCCGUUCAGAGUCCCAUAUGUCGUGAUGGGGAAUGUUUUUGUGUUAGUCCCGGAACAUACUCUGGUGAUCAACAAGGCAGUGAAUUUAAUCACAAAGUUAACUCAUAGGAGUCUUUCUAGUUGUUUAAAGCUAUUGGAGUAUUGUGUAUGUUAAUCUAAUGCCUAAUAUUGACUUAUGUAAAUGUUACUAUGUUUUAAGGAGUAUUACAGUACCAAAUGAUGUUAUCAAUCAAAUUUCUAGUUUUAGUGUUUAUAAAUAAAGACAAAUAGCACAUAUUUAGAUGUAGAGGGAAAUAAAAAACC